GACGAACGCUGGCGGCGUGCCUAAUACAUGCAAGUAGAACGCUGAAGGAGGAGCUUGCUUCUCUGGAUGAGUUGCGAACGGGUGAGUAACGCGUAGGUAACCUGCCUGGUAGCGGGGGAUAACUAUUGGAAACGAUAGCUAAUACCGCAUAAGAGUAGAUGUUGCAUGACAUUUGCUUAAAAGGUGCAAUUGCAUCACUACCAGAUGGACCUGCGUUGUAUUAGCUAGUUGGUGGGGUAACGGCUUACCAAGGCGACGAUACAUAGCCGACCUGAGAGGGUGAUCGGCCACACUGGGACUGAGACACGGCCCAGACUCCUACGGGAGGCAGCAGUAGGGAAUCUUCGGCAAUGGACGGAAGUCUGACCGAGCAACGCCGCGGGAGUGAAGAAGGUUGUCGGAUCGUAAAGCUCGGUUGUAAGAGAAGAACGAGUGUGAGAGUGGAAAGUUCACACUGUGACGGUAGCUUACCAGAAAGGGACGGCUAACUACGUG
rnacentral:rRNA from 1 species